ensembl:lincRNA
AGACAGCGAAGGCGGCUGGCAAUCAUUAACUAAUGCUUUCUCCCAGGGAGAAAAAUGCUGGCUUUAAGGAGGCCGGGACGUCAGAAUUGCAAUAGAAGAUAAGAGUCUCAUGAGAUCCAGGCUGGUCUCUCUGUAACUCCCAGUGUUCUUCCCUCUAUUUCCCAAACUCUGGGGUCAUGGGCACCCAUCCUCGAAUCCUUGUACCUGGCCAUUGUCUCAUCUUAGCUGCCAUUACCGGAUUAUUGAGGGAAUGAAAGAGGAUGAAAGGAAGAUUCUAAUAAAAAGAAACUAUACCAUGGAAAUAUGAUCUAAUAUUUUGUAUUCCUUCAGUGAAUUGAAGCAUAAAAAACAAAAACAAAAAACCUAGAAAGCCAAAGCCUUGCGUGAGGGAAAUAGAGGCCAGAGAGGACCAGGAGUCUUCAGGCCUGGUGGAAAACAGCUCUAAUCCAGCACUCACGAGUCAGAGGCAUGUAGACUUCUGUGAUCUCAAGGCCCUUCUGGUCUGGGUAGCUAAUUCCAGCUCAGCCAGGGCCACACAGUGAGACCCUGUCUUCAAAACAAAAACCAUGACAAACAAAAGCGAAAAUCCUCACCACCACCAACAAAAAGAGGUCCAGGCAUUCAGUGUCAGCCUCAGGUCAGUUUUAGGCUAGCCUGGGCUACCUGAAACCAGGCGUCGACAAAACAAAACAAUCCACCUGUUAACCCCUAAUAACAAGCCGUCUGUGACAAAGGUAGAAGUGGAAGUUUGCCAUUCUGAGGAGCGCUGUGUGUCCAGCCGGGUGUGACUGAGCUCCAUCCACGUGCAGUGCGUGGGUACCUCGUACGUACGUCAGCUUCACAUCCCCCAGUGCAUCACCGUCUUGUGUACAGCUGUUGGCUGUUUCGCUUGGCCUCUGACCUGGACUCCUUAAUGGGGCCGCAAUAAGAACAGGUGCAGUUUUCUUGUUGUGGUCGUUACAGGAGGGUUGAGUGCUGUGACACAGUGCUUAGGUCCCCGGAGUGUGGACAAGUGUCCACGCUUAGUCUGUACCUAACUUCAGUGUCUUCUGCUCUGUCACUGCUGGUCACAGUAAGAGCCCAAAGCACCUCACUGACAGAGGCUUCUUUUUAGUGUUGGUAACCAUCCCCGUUGCAGUCCUGGCUGUACUGAUACUCACUCCGUAGACCAGGCUGGCCUCGAACUCACAGAGCUCUGCCUGCCUCUGCCUCUGCCUCCUGAGUGCUGGGAUUAAAGGCUUGUGAGCUACCACGGCUCAGCAGAGGGUUCUAUCUAUAGUUCUUCACUCAGCCUGCUUGGGCAGAAGAUCCUCACAGAAGAGAGCCAACCAGGAAGCAGGAGAAAAGAGGCAGCGAUCUUAGGUAAUUAAGAAUCCUACCAACAAGGGCUAAGAGGCGGCUCAGUGGUGCAGAGCACUUGCCGCUCUUGCAGAGACCGGGAUUUGAUUCCCAGCACAUGUGUGGUGGCUCAUAAAUACCCAUAAUUCCAGUUCCAGAGGACCUAAUGCCUUCUUUUGACUCCUGUGGGUACCGGGUACAUGGUGCCCAUACAUAUAUUCAAGUAAAGCAUCCGUGUACAUCAAUAAAUAGACUAAAAACAAAAUCUCAUCAAUGAUGAGUUGAUAGCAGUGGACGGUCAUAUGAACCUGAGGCUGGGUCUGUGCACACGCCUCUGGGUGACCAUGCAGUGCGCAGGUCUGAAGUUCGGAUUUGAGUAGCUUCAUGGCAGAUGUCCCUAGGCACUCAAUUCGUAUCUUAGGGUUAUUCUCGAGGGCUGGGGGGUGGGAUGGGGGCUGGAGCUUGAUGAGAGAGUCGUGGCCUAGUUUGUGCAAAGCACUGCAUUUGUUCCUGAGGCACAUCCUCCCAAAAUCUGGGGUUCAAACAACUUAAAGGUACUUUGCGGUAAGCUCGCCUGGACAUCAUAUAUGGGAUAAUUGUCCGUUAUAAAUUUCAAACAGUAAAAAAAAGUCUCUUCCGGGAUUGCAGGACUCGAUCCCGGGAAGAUUCUGCCCUCCAGAAUGACACUGGAAGAUAAAGAAUGAGGGAGCUGAUGGCUUCCGCUCCAGAAUUCUGCCCAGCACCGACUUAGCCCCAAUGCCCACCCUCUGCUUCUCAGGAUGACCCUGGGAGCGCCUGAGUUUUGCUUGCUCAGUGAGGAGACCCCUGGGUUUCAGAGUGGCUCCUGCUGGCACACUGGGGAAGCCUUUUAAAGCUGGAAUUAAAACCAAAACAAACCAAACCAAAAUAAAACAGAAAGUAAAACAAACUACACGUCUGAUCCAUGGCGCUGGUGCCUGGCUAGGGCAAGCGUACAUGCGUGUGGGGGCGGGGCGGGGUGGGGUGAGGGAGGGUAGGGAGGAAUCAGAGGAGGUCAGACCUUUAGUUUCUCUGUACAAGAGUGUGCAAUGAUUCUUGUUUUAGUUUAACCGAGUGUGGCUCACUGUUUGCAAGUCAGGGAACGGGGCCCCAGGCUCUGCGCCCAGAUUAAAAGCUCCUGCUCUGAAAUGC